GAGAUGGAUUGGUGCCUUCGGGAACUCUGAGACAGGUGCUGCAUGGCUGUCGUCAGCUCGUGUUGUGAAAUGUUGGGUUAAGUCCCGCAACGAGCGCAACCCUUAUCCUUGUUUGCCAGCGAGUAAUGUCGGGAACUCCAGGGAGACUGCCGGUGAUAAACCGGAGGAAGGUGGGGACGACGUCAAGUCAUCAUGGCCCUUACGAGUAGGGCUACACACGUGCUACAAUGGCGCAUACAGAGGGCGGCCAACUUGCGAGAGUGAGCGAAUCCCAAAAAGUGCGUCGUAAUCCGGAUUGGAGUCUGCAACUCGACUCCAUGAAGUCGGAAUCGCUAGUAAUCGUGGAUCAGAAUGCCACGGUGAAU
rnacentral:rRNA from 1 species